GGUCAGGUCCUAUGCGAUGUCGGUCGGGCAAACUCCGCCAGGGUCGGAAGGCAGCAACGGUAGUCACGCUUGAUAUGCGCCGUAGGGUGCCUGGCCACC
rnacentral:SRP_RNA from 1 species